rnacentral:rRNA from 1 species
AAGACCUUGCGCUUUUGGAGCGGCCGAUGUCUGAUUAGCUAGUUGGUGGGGUAAUGGCCUACCAAAGCUUCGAUCAGUAGCUGGUCUGAGAGGACGGCCAGCCACACUGGGACUGAGACACGGCCCAGACUCCUACGGGAGGCAGCAGUGGGGAAUUUUGGACAAUGGGCGCAAGCCUGAUCCAGCCAUGCCGCGUGAGUGAAGAAGGCCUUCGGGUUGUAAAGCUCUUUCAGCCGGGAAGAAAAGGCUGCGACUAAUAAUCGCAGUUCAUGACGGUACCGGAAGAAGAAGCACCGGCUAACUACGUGCCAGCAGCCGCGGUAAUACGUAGGGUGCGAGCGUUAAUCGGAAUUACUGGGCGUAAAGGGUGCGCAGGCGGUUUUGUAAGUCAGAUGUGAGAUCCCCGGGCUUAACCUGGGAACU